rnacentral:rRNA from 1 species
UUAUGGCUCAGGAUGAACGCUGGCGGCGUGCUUAACACAUGCAAGUCGAACGGAGUUUUAACGGAAGUUUCGGAUGGAAGUUAAAAACUUAGUGGCGGACGGGUGAGUAACGCGUGGGUAACCUGCCUCAUACAGGGGGAUAACAGUUAGAAAUGACUGCUAACACCGCAUAAUAUAGCGAAACCGCAUGAUUUUGCUAUCAAAUAUUUAUAGGUAUGAGAUGGGCCCGCGUCUGAUUAGCUAGUUGGUGGGGUAAAAGCCUACCAAGGCGACGAUCAGUAGCCGGCUUGAGAGAGUGACCGGCCACAUUGGGACUGAGACACGGCCCAAACUCCUACGGGAGGCAGCAGUGGGGAAUAUUGGACAAUGGGGGAAACCCUGAUCCAGCGAACCGCCGCGUGAGUGAAGAAGUAUUUCGGUAUGUAAAGCUCUAUCAGCAGGGAAGAUAAUGACAGUACCUGACUAAGAAGCCCCGGCUAACUACGUGCCAGCCGCAGC